AGUAUAUGGUUAUAUGGACCAACUUAUUUUUCUAACAAUUCUAAGAAUCAUUCUCGUGAUGACACGUGACUACGAAAACAUGUUGUAAUGCUCCAAGAUUAAUAUAUAGGGGAUUUGCACCUUAGAAAAAAAUGGACCAAUCACAUUUUUAAACAAUUUUAAAAAAUAAUAUUAUAAAUAUCAACAAACUUUAAUUAUUUGAACUAUGUGGUCCUAAUGUGCUCUAGUGUCAGACUCCGAUUUGGAUGCGCUUCGAUGAAAUAGCCUUUCAUUGUGCUGGAGGGAAAACGGCUUAUUCAUGCCCGCACUAUGAAUCCAGGGAAAAUACAUACUCAAACAAUAUUACCGUGCCAAAAUUUUCCUAAACUAAAUAAGAACUUGAAUUGCAUACCUAAACUCAUAAUAAAUAGCUAAAACAUGCCUCGUAACUCACACAUGUUAGUUCAUUUUAAAAUGUAUUGAUUUGUUUUUUAAAACUAUUAUCUUUUAGUCUUUGUCAUUUUAUUAGUUUGUAAAGUGCCUCAAAUAAUUAAAAUCAUCUAAUUGACCUUAUUUAUAAUUUCAAAAUUGGAAAUAAAUUUUAAUAUAUGGUGAUAUAUAAAAUAAAAAUAUUUUUUUUAUCAAAUAAAAUAGAUUUAAUAAUAGAAAUAUAUUAUUAUUAUUUCAUAUUGAAAUAUUUGAUACAAAAAAAAUUUAAAUAAAUAGAAAACAACAUAAAAACAUUAUCAUAAUCAAUUAUUCAGUAAUUAUACAAGAAUUAAUCGGAAAAUAGUUUUGUAAACUUUUUGUGUAUUAUUAAUAUUACAUACUAGUUUGUAGCAAAAUAAAAUAAUGUAAUAUGGUCUAGUGGUUUUGUGCGAUAUUGUUUUUUUUAGAUGUUGCGUUCGAAACUAUUCUUGGUUAACUAACCAUUCUUAUCUUUUUUUAUUAAGUAAGGGUAAUAUUAUUAAAGAUCUCUACUGUAAAAUCAAAUUUCUAAAGAGUAUUUUUAGUUAUGUUGAUUAAAAUUUGAAUGACUAUAUUUGUAAAGAAAAUUUUAUAUAAAUAUAAAUUGAGUCGUAUUUCUUGUAAAUAUUACAUAUGAGUAAGAUUAUUUAUAAUUAAUUCUCAUGUAUUAAUAAGGUAGAUAACAUACUUUGAUAACUAAAUUAAUUAAUAUUUUGUAUAUGAUAACUAUCUAAAUUUCUUAUAAAUAAUUAAAUUUAUUAUUUAAAUUUAAUUAAAAUCUGGUCAAAAAAACAAAAGUGUACUUUUCAAAUUAAAAUUAUAAAUACGAUAAAUUUGAUUAUUGAAGUUAUUUAAGACAUAUUAACAAAAAAUAAAAUUAUAGGGACUAAACUACAAAAAAAAAUUAAAAAAUAGUCCAAAUUAUCAUAUCACCGGCUAUAGGCAUGCUUUAACUAUGUAUUAUGAGUUUAGGUAUGCAAUUCAAAUUCUUAUUUAGUUUAGGAAUGUUUUGGCAUGUUAAUAUUGUUUGGGUAUGUAUUUUCCAUGGCUUUAUAGUGUGGACAUGAAUAAGUCGUUUUCCCUCGUGUUGGACGCUCCAUGUGACAUGACGGUCGACUCCAAACCUAAAAAAAAUAAUAGUCGCAAUUUGUUUUUCCAUCUAUUUUUAUUAUAAUAAAAGGCCGAAGAAAAAGCCCGUACACACACACACAACACAAACCCCAGGGCCCAACACAACAUAACAGCCCAACCCAAAAAACAAAACCGACACAUGCAUCCAAAGAACAGCAAAGGUAGGCCACGUGUUGAAGCCUCAAACAACAAGGAGCAAACACGCGUUACACAGGCCCCACAUCACCACCGUCGAGAGAGCAACGCCGAAGAACUGAACGGCGUUUCACUGGUCCACACCGGGAACAUGGAGCUACGACUCAAAUCUUCAUCUCCUUGGCUUCUGUCAACGGAGAGCGUCUAUCGAAACAACUCUAGAUCUCAUCCGUAACAUGAAACCACCACACCCAUCGACUACAGAUCAAUCAUCUACACCUCGAACACCUUCUUUGCCUGAUCUCAAACCACCGGAGAACUUCAAUCGACCUAGAUCGAGAUCUCCUCCAAGACGAACAAACCAUCAACCACAAUCAUCAAAAUCACCACAGAGCCGCUGUCGACCGAGUGAUAAAAUCGACGCGGAGACUUAAGCCGACCGUUCACCUUUGAUGAACAGGUACAACGUCGGAGUUAAAAAGCGACAGACCACCGAUAGAAAAGUACGACGCCGGAAGCAAGAACACGAAACGUAUUGACAAAAAAACAACAGCAAACAGCAAAUCCCGACCGACGACGUGUCUGUGUAAGCCCACCGUCGUCGGCCAGAAAAACGAUCGGAAUCUCUUGCCUUUUAGUGAGAAGAUGGAGGAUUUCUAGAGAUGUAUAAUUAUUGUAAAUAAUAGUCACAAGUUAGAUAUAUGUAAAACAAAUUAUGUAAAGUAUAAAAAUUAAAAAAGUAUUUGGCUACUGAUCGGGUUCAAGACAUCAAAACCUUCUUAUCCCGGCUGGGCAAAAAGAUCUUUGACGGUAUAUCAAGUGUAAGAAGUAUCUGAGGAAACUAUCAAAUCUUGAUUAACUCCGGCUACAGGGGUAGGAAGUGCAUCUGGACCAGCAGGGGGAGCAACCGGUGCUGCAGUGGGAGAAACCAGAGGUGCAGCAAGAGGAUGCGGUGGUGGAGCUCUCUGGGACGACUAAGAGCUAAAGACUACUCCCAGAGCCAAAGAUGGACCCAAUGAUUUAGAAGUGCCAACAUGUCAUGUGCCGAACGUCUCACUAUAAUGUAGACGGUUUAGUCAUCUAUUUCUAGGAGUCCUCUACAAAAGAAAAGACAAUUCAAAUUAAAAGAAAUUUAAAAACAAACAAUUUCUAAUUCUGCAACUUAAUAUUUUACAAUGAAUAUUCUCUUAUGUGGUAAUUCGUCGUAAUGUUAUAUGUGUUUUAUAACGAAAUAUUUUCCUCAUAAAGUUACUUGUACUUUACAACAAUUUCCUUUUUUUGUUGUAGUGUCAUCAACACCUCGGCAAUUUACGAUUCGUUGUAAAAUUUCAUUGUUAUGCGCAUGUUCUCUUGUAGUAUCGAACUUAAAGGCUCACUUCUACUAGAAUAAACCUUAGGUUUCCUUUCUAUCUAAAGAGAGAAUUGGUCGUAGUUUUCUGAUGAAGAAUUUUGGUUUGGGAAACGAAAUAUCACCGGAGCCUCUACCGACAGGGACGGAUCCAGAAGUAUAUUUAGUAUGGGGCAUAUUUUACUAGAAAUAUAUAGUUCAAAGGAUUUAAAUAACAUUAAAAAUGUUGGCAAAAUUAAAAUUAAAAUAAUAAUUGAUGAAAAACAAUGUAUGUGGCAUGUAUCACGCUUAACUAUACACUAGCUUUUGACCCGCGCGCCCGCGCGGAUGUUUAUUCUUCAUAAGCAUAUGUUUUUCACUUGUAUAAACAUUCAUGUUACUCAUUCAUAGGUUAUUGAAUUUUGGCAUUAGUGUAUCUUGUUCGGUUUGUUUAACGUCCCACUACAAGAAAACAACGCCAACUCCGACAAAAGUUCCAGAGAAAGUGAAUCAUCGGAAGAUUUGUUUCGUCUUUAUGAGAAAUUUCUGAGAAAAUAUUAAUCGUCAGAGGAAUGGUACAAUUAAUAUUUUCUCAGAAAUUUCUAAAAAAGACAAAGAAAAUCUUCCGAUGAUUCACUUUCUCAUGAACUUUUGUCGGAGUUGGCGUUGUUUUCUUGUAGUGGAUCCAUAUAUAAACUAUACAGUUGUAUUCUUCUUUUAUUGUACUUUUAUUGAUUUGACUUGAUGAAUUAAUAUUCUAUAAUGUAAAAUAUUAGAAUAUUUAAGUAUAACUGUAUGUGCUUUAUUAUAUUAUACUAUAAAUAUUGUGAUUAAAAUUAGAUGUAAAGUUAUAAUUUUAUAGUUUUUUUUAACAAAUACAUUAUUUAGACAGUAACAUAAAAAAUAAUUGAAAAAGUAACAAAAAAACAUUCAAACAUAAGUACAAAUUUUUGGUAAUUUUAUUUACCAAACCCAAUUUAAGGUUGAAUCGCGCAACCACGCAUGUAUCUGAUAAGUAAAAGAAAUUGGAAUUUAUAGAAAUAAGUAAUUCCAUACUAUUUUAUUUCAAAAAAAAUCAUAAUAACAGUCAGUUUUAUGAUGGACAGUGGUAUCAUAUUGAAAAAUCCCACAUUUAUAAAUAAUUGGAGUUAUAUUUACAUGUGUCUUUUUAUUUUAUAAAAGAAGUAUUUUUCAACAUUUCAAUUUUAUAGAUAUAUAAGAAUUAAAUAUUACAUAGUUGUUUAAAUUUGGCAUGUCUUCACAUAAACAUUCUUAUUGUUUAUAUGUUAUAAUUUAUUGUUUAGAUUAUUCAGUUCCUUGGUUGUGUAUAUGAACUUAUUUGUACUUUGUAAAAAUUUGGAAUAUAAAUAAUUAACAUGUACAUAUAUAUUUGUACAGAAACUUUAUUACAAUCACUGAAAAAAUAAUUACAAUCAUUCAAAAACUUUAAAUUAAGUGGCCAUUGUACGUUGGACCAUGGUAAUUCAUGAGAAAACAAAUUUUAAUUUGGGCCAUAGUAUCUUAUUAUAUAAAGAGAUGUUUGUCUCUCUCACGUUCGUCCACGUCACCCUCCACGUAUGAAAAUAGAGCAUCCUCCAGCCAACACGUGUCCAUGCGAAAGAAACGCUCCGUUUCAUUUAUUUGUGUAUGCAAUACAUGUGGGCUUUAGUGUGUAUUUGGGCUUAAUGAAUCCAAUCCGGAUAAAGAAACUCCAACUUUUAUGGAAACGCGUCGUUUCUGAUUUAGGGUAACACGUUCUUCAUUUCCCCCAUUCGAGAGCUAAUCUCAACCUAAGGUUUCUCUGGUGCUGUUUCAUCUUCUUCAUAACAAUCCUAGAAACUAUCAGUUACAAAUUCAUCCUCUUAAAUCCACCACCCACGAUCUACCUUGAAUGAGAUCUUCACGUAAGGCUGUGGAAUUACAACUAUAAAAAGAUUUGAAGACCGGACGAGUACGGCACAGUAGGAGGAGGAAAGCGGUAGCAACAGAGGAGAGGAGGAUCAAGGCAAUUAGGGACCAGCCGUGUCCGGUUUGAAUCCAGUUGUUUAUUGUAAUUUUUCCGUCCUGUUCAUCAUUAUUUUGAACACACAGGGUGAUUAGAUUCAUAUUUAUCAGAAUUAUGCUUUUAGUAUCAUAGUUUUCCUCUUUGCAAUAUGAUUUGAAUCUGUUGUUUAUUAUUUUAUUAUUUUUGGUAAUCGGUUUCAGGCAACAUUCAUUCCAGUGUUCAUGUCUUCCCACUUAUAAGUGACUGGGUUCUAUGUUUUACUUUGAUUUCACUUGGUGUAAUCAGAACUUUUGACUGUAGACUCUCUUCAAUUGAUGCGGUCCAGUGAUGAACCCGGUUUGAUGAGUUAACCGAACCGAUUACACCCAUUCCUGAAGAACACUUCGGGUUCCGUAAUCACAGUGAACUGCUUGGCAUAAUCAACACCAAUACCUUGACAAAGUCUUAUUUUGUUUCUUGAUGAGCUACUGCUCAAAAUCUUGAAUCUUUUUUUUUGUUUAGGUAAAUGUAUGAGCUCCAAGAGUUUCUGAAACAAGCGUGAGGAGAACAGCAGUUUGAGGAAGGAAUGGUAGUUUAUUGGAUUGUUGAAGAUGGCUGUCAAUGAAGGUAUUAACUUAGCUAUCAGACUUGGUGUGAAGUGAUCCUUAUGUUGUCUUCAAUCUAGGGAAGCAAAAACUUCAAACAGCAGUUGUGAAUAGUAAUUUGAACCCGUAUGGAAUCAAGAACUUAUGAUGUCUGUUCCUAAGAGCUAUGGUCAUCAAGUUGAUAUCCAGCCUCUGAUACAUUCUCUGCUGAUGACAAAAUGUGAGAAGCUCAACAUGAUAUCCAGCCUCUGCUGAUGACAUAAAUUAUGAUACAUUCUCUGCUGAUGACAUAAUGGGAGAAACUCAACUUGAUAUCCAGCCUCUGAUAACAUCUGCAAUGGCGUUUGAGGAUCCAUAGAUGUUUGGGGAUAUGCAGAUUGGGAAAUGGCUAAAGUUGCAUGAUAAUCUGCCAAUAGAUGACAGCAUCAUUAACAUUGUUGAUGGGAAAGUGAAGCAUGCAUGAGGUUUAGAUCAAGCUUCAAGAUGUAGAGUCUGUAGAAUUCGAGAUGGAAAUGGAAUGGCUACCACUCGACCAAUAAUACUAAUACCAGUAGGUUCCACUUUAUAAACUUACACUUUUUGCAAUACAUACAUUCCUUUUUUUUUUGUUGAAACAUUUUUAGAUCUCUCAUUUCCUUACACAAAAAUGUAUGUUUGUAAUAUUUUGUUUCUUGGUGGCUAUAUCUUACAAAGUUACUGAUAAGAACUUGCGAAUAUAUUGAUCAACAACACAAAAGAACUAAGAACCUAGGGAUUGUGCAAGAGUCCCUAACUCUCCCAGAUACAUCCACCACAAGAUGCAUAAUGAUUCAGUUACAAUCGAUCAACUAUAUAUAGUGAUCUGACUCUCUAAUACUUACAACUCUAACUGAAUCUUUACUUUCUUCUACAGAUGCCAUGUCACUCUUUAUCUUCUUAUUCUUAUGCAAGUGCCAUGUCAGCAUCUCCUCACGUAUCAGUUACACACUUUUGUAUACGGUUGACUUACACUCUAGAAAUAUAUUUAUCUAAAUACUCAUAAUUAAUAUAUGGUUUCAUUGUAUUUACCAAACUUAAAAUAAUGUUCUGUAACAGUGAAUUUUAUAUUUACUUAUUGGAUUGUUUUAGUGAUUCCAAACAAAUAAAAAUAAAAUAAACUAUCAAUAAUUUCAAAAGUAUGUACAAAAAAUAAACAAAUCAAUGUUUUGAGGAUUCAACCUAACUGAAAUAAUAAAAAUUAUAUUCUAUUUGUUAUAUAUAUAAAAUUAUACUCUCUUUGCUAUAUAAAUUAUACUGAUAUAUGUUGUUGUAUGUAUUAUUUAUAGUUAUUGUGUGUUGUCUUUGAGAAAGCACAAACGAUUAUCAGACAUAACGUGUUGAAGAAGUCAUAGGCUUUAUCGGUUACAUUUUUACUCAUGGGUCUUCAUGUCAAGACGUUGCAAAGAGCCUAAGCGUCGUAUUAGAGUGUGAUCAUAAUCAAGUUUUGUUUCCCUAAGAACCUUCUUGGGUGUCAUCAAACAAAUCCUUAUUUGAUAAACUGAUAAUCACCUUUUUGUAUAUAUGAUUAACUGAUAUGAACUUUUAAUUCUCAUGCCUAUCAUUAGUUAGGUAUCUUCACUAUUAUUAAAAUAGUUAAAAUAUGGAAAAACUUAUUCGGUUAUAUUUACUACAUAAUACUAAACUAAACUAACUUUUGUAAGAAAAUGUAAAUGUUGAUAAAUUUCACGAAAAUUCACAUAUACCAAAAACAAAAUUAUGGUGAUGAUUAUUUAGUUAGUUUUUAGUUUUUGGCUUUUGGAUUUUAGUUUUUUGAAUUUAGUUUUUAAUUUUUGGUUUUUAAUUUUACAGUAACUUUUGGUUUUUUUUUUUAAACCUGAAUGGUUGUUUUAGACUUUGAUUUUAGAGUUUGAAACAAUUACUAUUAUCACUAAAAUAAAUAAUUAUAUAUUAAAAUUUAUUUUAAAAUAAACAACAAAAGGAAACUUUUAUAAAAUAAAAACGAAUAGCUACAUGUAUACCUACAUAGAUAACUAAAUUAAACUUACAAAACAAACAAAAUAAAAAUUUAAUUAUAUUUUAUAAAAUACGGUAAGAAUGAAUAAACUUUAUUAAAUUCCAGAUUUAAAAAAUAAAUAUUAAUAUCUGGAAUUUUAAAUUUUAUUUAAUUUUAGACAAUGAAUAAUUAGAUUUUAUAUUAACAGACUAAACUAUUUUUUUAAAUGGUAUAAAUGCAUAAAAUUUAUAUAGUUAUAACAUACAAAGUAAUAGCUAGAUUCUAAAUUUUAUUUAUAGUCUAUCCAAUUAUUUAUUUUAAAUAUUAGUUACAAGUAAAUUAUUUUAAUAAAUGUGAAAUUACUGAACCAAUAAAUAAAAAAUUAACUAUUUAUAUAUUAUCAGCAAAAAUAUGCAGAUUUGUUUAUUUUGAAUUUUAAAAUAAAUAAACACGUUAAUAUAUUAAUACAUAUAUAUAUAUAUAUAUACACAAAUAUUUUAAGAAGAAUAAAAAAAUGCAAAACCCACGUAUAAUGUUGAAAAAACUAUAUAAAAUAAUCAAUAUUUUGAGUAUUAAACCUAACCACAACAAUAAAAACUCAAAUCUACUUCUUAUAUAUAAGAAAAGUUGAGCAAAUAUUUAAGAAAACGUAUACCAUUUCAAUAAUGAAAAUCAUAUCAUGCUAAUACAAACUUAUAAUCUCUAACAAAACUAAUAAAAAAAUAAAAAAAUAAAAAGGUUUAGUUAGACAUAUGUGAAGAUGAUGUGUGCUCAUUAUAAAAAAAUAUAACAAGAAAAAGAGAUAAUAAUAAAAUUGUGUAAUGUGAGAAAAUGUAUUUGAAAACAAAUAAAAAAACAUAAAACAAGUUAGAAAAUAAACAAAUAUCCAACAUUAAGUAAAAUGAAUGUAAUAUUUCUCAUCACUUAAAAUUUUCUAAAUAUAAAACUCAUUAUUAUACACAUCAAUUGCAAAUGCAAAUCUAAAACACAAACCACAAAAUAAUACAUAAAAUAAAAAUCCAGAUAACAAAUAAAGUAUAUCCCGCCCGUAGGGCGGGCCGACCCUAGUUAUUAUAAUAGUUACGUCAUCAGCCCAUUAGGUUCUGUUUGUUUUUGUUCCGGGAAACAAACAAACCUUUUGUGAACAGAAAAAAAAAAGGUUUUCGUUUCAUUCUAAACAGAGGUUAUCUCUGUCAUCCUCAACCUCGUCUCUGUUUCUCAUCGCAACUCCAGACAUAGAGACCAAACAAUGGAAGAUCGACGGCCAAAGCGAAUCAAUUAAGCAACAUAAUCCGAGUGUAGGUGAAGGAUUGUCGUUUAAGGAGAUAGUGAGAGCGAUUCAGAAGUUAGGAGAAGUGUAUGAGAUGAUCGAAGGUGCAAAGAAGAGGAUGAUGAUUGAGUUGAAGAAACAGAGGAUGGAAACUGCAAAGGAGCUUGAGUUGCAACAAAUGAAAAUGUCAGUGGAUAUGCAGAUGGAGCUUGAAAAAAUCCAAUCUUGGCAAACAUAGAGCUGCUGCUUCAGGUAAAGAGGUCCAACUUUAUUGGUCUAAGCAAUUCUUAUAAUCUCCUUUUUUCCAUUUUGUUUCUAAACCAGAGAAAGAGGAAGUUGGUCAUUUUGUUAAGUAAUGAUUUUUCAUCAAACAGGCUAGUUUUAAGUUUUGAGUUAUUGAUUGUUUAUAAUUUCAGGUAGCAGAGUGGAACUUUCCUUCGGUUAAGGAUGCUGCAGACGUGGUGAUUGCUACUAUGAUGUCUGGAAUACAGGUUAGACUUCUAUACUUGUUAUAUCUGAACGAUAGGAUUUAAAGCUAUUAUUAGAUCGAGUUUCAACUGAUUGAUCUGUCAAAAUUGAAGGUUUUUAGGAUUAGUUUCUUCUAAUCUACAUUCUUUGUUUUGAUUUUUCAGAGACCAGCUAAUGUAUGGAAUACCAAGACCCUUGAAGCGGAUAGACAGAGCCCGGCUUCACUUUUAAAAACAGGGAUACAUCAUCUGCAAGCCUUUGAUCGGUAAAGAUGUUAUAAAAAGUCUCAUUUGGUUUGUUUAGCAGACUGAUUUUAAUUAAGGUUGUUUUAGCUCAGGAACAGAUGGAAUGAGAAACAAAUUGAAUUGAUUGUAGAAGGUCUUAAUAAAUGAGAAGCUAAUAGACGAUAUAGGGAGAUAAGUCGGAUUGUCUUGAUUGUCUCAGCUCUAUUUAAGUGGUAGAUUUUUAAAUAUACUUGUUCAGAGCAUAUAUGAUAUUCACGGUUUCAGCUCGAUCUGUUUAUAUGGUAGAUUUAUAAAUCUUAUUGUUCAGAGCAUAUAUAAUAUUUGAAAUGUUUAUUACUUCACAGGCAUGAAGUAUUAGUAGACCAACUAAUCUGUUAUGGAGAAAGAGAAGUACAGUCAUCAUAAGUGAUAUAAAGAGAAACUCUGACUGAUCAAGACAAAGACAGAGAGAUGAGAAUAACUUGUGACAUCAGAGAGCAUAAGGAAGGAAGACCAAUGAGUUAGUCAACAACCUUGACAACAAAUAAACUUUGAAUACGGUUAGUAAUUACUUAUCUAUCAUAACUAAUUGAUAACUUGAAAGCAAUGUAAAAAUAUUUAGAAUAACUUAGAUUAUGAAAAAAAUUUGGCUUAAGUAUAGAUGUUGGGUUAAUACUUGUUUUAGGGAUGCAAACCAGCUACUCUUUCUUCACGAUCUUGUAUAACAUUGCAUUUGUCAUCAUUUUGAUAGCUGAUAUCAUGUCAUUCUAAAUGUGACGCAUGUUUGAGUUGGACGUUCUGAGGACAAAAUUGCAGCAAUCCAGGCAACACCUGCCUAUAGGAAAAUGAGAUGAGUAAAAGCCGUGACCAUAGACAUUAUUAGGAUUUUGGUUUUCUUUGAUGUGUUUGACGUAAAAUAGAAGAGAUAUAUAUAAUGCCGAUAGGAAAAUUAGGUUAAAUUGGAAAAAUUAAUAAAUGAUUUGGUUAGUUGUGACAUACUCGCAAAAUCUAACCAAAUAUCUGUUUUAAAAUUAUUAAAUAUCUAUUCCUUUUUUUAUCUAAUCUUAUUGAAAACAGAAUAUACCUUAUUAAAUAAGUAAAACUUGUUUUGCAAGUCGGAAAUACAGAAUAUAUGAUUUCUUAGUUAAUUGAUAUCAUUAACUGAUUUGUGUGACUACGAUGAAUUAGGAAAAGAAAUCAUAAUGUUGUUUUGAUAUUUU